GACGAACGCUGGCGGCGUGCUUAACACAUGCAAGUCGAACGGAAAGGCCCUGCUUUUGUGGGGUGCUCGUGUGGCGAACGGGUGAGUAACACGUGAGUAACCUGCCCUUGACUUUGGGAUAACUUCAGGAAACUGGGGCUAAUACCGGAUAGGAGCUCCUGCUGCAUGGUGGGGGUUGGAAAGUUUCGGCGGUUGGGGAUGGACUCGCGGCUUAUCAGCUUGUUGGUGGGGUAGUGGCUUACCAAGGCUUUGACGGAUAGCCGGCCUGAGAGGGUGACCGGGCUCAUUGGGACUGAGAUACGGCCCAGACUCCUACGGGAGGCAGCAGUGGGAAAUAUUGCGCAAUGGGCGGAAGCCUGAUACAGCAACGCCGCGUGCGGGAUAACGGCCUUCGGGUUGUAAACCGCUUUCGCCUGUGACGAAGCGUGAGUGACGGUAAUGAGUAAGGAAGCACCGGCUAACUACGUG
rnacentral:rRNA from 1 species